rnacentral:rRNA from 1 species
AGUGAGCGCUGGCGGUAGGCCUAACACAUGCAAGUCGAACGGCAGCACAGUAUGAGCUUGCUCUUACGGGUGGCGAGUGGCGGACGGGUGAGGAAUACAUCGGAAUCUACUUUUUCGUGGGGGAUAACGUAGGGAAACUUACGCUAAUACCGCAUACGACCUACGGGUGAAAGCAGGGGAUCUUCGGACCUUGCGCGAUUGAAUGAGCCGAUGUCGGAUUAGCUAGUUGGCGGGGUAAAGGCCCACCAAGGCGACGAUCCGUAGCUGGUCUGAGAGGAUGAUCAGCCACACUGGAACUGAGACACGGUCCAGACUCCUACGGGAGGCAGCAGUGGGGAAUAUUGGACAAUGGGCGCAAGCCUGAUCCAGCCAUACCGCGUGGGUGAAGAAGGCCUUCGGGUUGUAAAGCCCUUUUGUUGGGAAAGAAAAGCAGCAGGUUAAUACCCCGCUGUUCUGACGGUACCCAAAGAAUAAGCACCGGCUAACUUCGUG